CACGUAGGGCGCGAGCGUUGUCCGGAAUUAUUGGGCGUAAAGGGCGUGCAGGCGGUCUGUUAAGUGCAGGGUGAAAGCUCCCGGCUCAACUGGGAGAGGUCCUUGCGUACUGGCGGACUUGAGGGGGGUAGAGGAAAGUGGAAUUCCCGGUGUAGUGGUGAUAUGCGUAGAUAUCGGGAGGAACACCUGUGGCGAAGGCGGCUUUCUGGGCCCUACCUGACGCUGAGACGCGAAAGCGUGGGGAGCGAACCGG
rnacentral:rRNA from 1 species